rnacentral:rRNA from 1 species
UACGAAGGGGGCUAGCGUUGUUCGGAAUCACUGGGCGUAAAGGGUGCGUAGGCGGGAUCUUAAGUCAGGGGUGAAAUCCCGAGGCUCAACCUCGGAACUGCCUUUGAUACUGGGGUCCUUGAGUCCGGAAGAGGUGAGUGGAACUGCGAGUGUAGAGGUGAAAUUCGUAGAUAUUCGCAAGAACACCGGUGGCGAAGGCGGCUCACUGGUCCGGAACUGACGCUGAGGCACGACAGCGUGGGGAG